UACGAAGGGGGCUAGCGUUGCUCGGAAUCACUGGGCGUAAAGCGCACGUAGGCGGCUUUCUAAGUCAGGGGUGAAAUCCUGGAGCUCAACUCCAGAACUGCCUUUGAUACUGGAGAGCUUGAGUCCGGAAGAGGUGAGUGGAACUCCGAGUGUAGAGGUGAAAUUCGUAGAUAUUCGGAAGAACACCAGUGGCGAAGGCGGCUCACUGGUCCGGUACUGACGCUGAGGUGCGGAAGCGUGGGGAGCAAACAGGG
rnacentral:rRNA from 1 species